rnacentral:rRNA from 2 species
UGGGGAAUUUUGGACAAUGGGCGAAAGCCUGAUCCAGCAAUGCCGCGUGCAGGAUGAAGGCCUUCGGGUUGUAAACUGCUUUUGUACGGAACGAAAAGACUCUGGUUAAUACCUGGGGUUCAUGACGGUACCGUAAGAAUAAGCACCGGCUAACUACGUGCCAGCAGCCGCGGUAAUACGUAGGGUGCAAGCGUUAAUCGGAAUUACUGGGCGUAAAGCGUGCGCAGGCGGUGAUGUAAGACAGAUGUGAAAUCCCCGGGCUCAACCUGGGAACUGCAUUAGUGACUGCAUCGCUGGAGUGCGGCAGAGGGGGAUGGAAUUCCGCGUGUAGCAGUGAAAUGCGUAGAUAUGCGGAGGAACACCGAUGGCGAAGGCAAUCCCCUGGGCCUGCACUGACGCUCAUGCACGAAAGCGUGGGGAGCAAACA